CACGUAGGGUGCGAGCGUUUGUCCGGAAUUAUUGGGCGUAAAGAGCUCGUAGGCGGUGUGUCGCGUCGGCCGUGAAAACCUGCAGCUUAACUGUGGGCUUGCGGUCGAUACGGGGCAUCACUGGAGUUCGGCAGGGGAGACUGGAAUUCCUGGUGUAGCGGUGAAAUGCGCAGAUAUCAGGAGGAACACCGGUGGCGAAGGCGGGUCUCUGGGCAAUGAACUGACGCUGAGGAGCGAAAGCGUGGGGAGCGAACAGG
rnacentral:rRNA from 1 species